rnacentral:tRNA from 2 species
GCCGGAUUAGCUCAACUGGUAGAGCACCCGCCUUGUAAGCGGAAGGUUGUGGGUUCAAGUCCCGCAUCCGGCACCA